UACAGAGGGUGCAAACGUUGCUCGGAAUUAUUGGGCGUAAAGCGCACGUAGGCGGCAUGGUAAGUUGGAUGUGAAAACCCUGGGCUCAACCCUGGAAGUGCAUCCAAGACUGCCACGCUGGAGUGUCGGAGGGGGUCGGAGAAUUCCCGGUGUAGAGGUGAAAUUCGUAGAUAUCGGGAGGAACAUCUGUGGCGAAGGCGCCGACCUGGACGACAACUGACGCUGAGGUGCGAAAGCAUGGGGAGCAAACAGGAUUAGAUACCCCUGUAGUCC
rnacentral:rRNA from 1 species